UACGGGGGGGGGCAAGCGUUGUUCGGAAUUACUGGGCGUAAAGGGCUCGUAGGCGGCCAACUAAGUCAGACGUGAAAUCCCUCGGCUUAACCGGGGAACUGCGUCUGAUACUGGAUGGCUAGAGGUUGGGAGAGGGAUGCGGAAUUCCAGGUGUAGCGGUGAAAUGCGUAGAUAUUGGGAGGAACACCUGUGGCGAAAGCGGCUCACUGGACCACAACUGACGCUGAGGCGCGAAAGCUAGGGGAGCAAACAGG
rnacentral:rRNA from 1 species